UUGUUUUUAUGAAUCUAAUUCAUUCUUCGUUUUGAGUAACAACUGACACAUUCUCGAAGGUCCUUCGUAAAAAUCGAAAACUAUAAAUCACUAUUUCAAAUCCCUUAAAUUCAAUAAUUAUCAUUCCCCUCUCUUCUUCUUCCACAAUCUAAAUCCCUAACUGCUUCGAGUUGGUUCCGUGGCACGCGAUCUUCAGAAGAGCAGAUUUACAUGGAGAUGGUAGAAUCAGUGGUGUCAAUUUCUUUCAAGGAUCCAUCCAAACGUUCUUGCUCAGCUCAGGUAUGGAUGCAUGCUUAUCGGUUGGGAAGACUGGUGUGACUGCUGAACCAACAUCGACUCAAGUUUUCCCUUAUAGAGGACAGUUGGGAACCAGCAUUAUCUUCCUUCUCAGCAGGGUGCUAACAUGAGACCGCCUCAAUCACCAGGGGUUAGCAGCUUUUGUGGCAGGUCACCGGCUUCCAGCUGGAGCAGAUUUCGCUGUCUCUUGACUCCGUUUGGGUCUCAAUUCAUUACAGGACCAUGCCAACUUCUGGUCCACAGAGCUAUCCAGGAAGAGUUGCAAUAGUAGGAGUCUCACUUCUAAUACAACUACUACCAAUACCAUCAAUCAAAUGAUUGGUGAUGUAACCUAUGCAAAACUAUACCUCACAAAUGGAACUGGCUCAAAAUUCUCUGGUUUUUGUCGUGUUUCCCUCGCAGAUCAGAUUUGGCACACCAAUUUGGGUUUUUUCUCGGCUGCAGCCUUGACUUUUGUUUUCCCUUGGCCAUGUGUUGCAGACAGAAGCGAACCUGUUCCAGUGCAACAGCAGGUUACAGCACCAAAGAAAUCAUUUGCAGAGGCACUGGGGGGCAAAAGCAUUACUGCAGAUCAUCAAAGGGGAUGCCCUUUGUAUCAAGAUCAUGCAGACUGUUUAUGAGAAAGGAGCCUAGAUCUAACCAAUGAUUCAAACAAAUACUUAGUUUCUAUCACAACAUUCAAGAGUUGAUAGAUACAUGGGAAGUGAAGAUAUGUAGAUUACCAACACGUGACAAUGUCGCUGACCCACUGACAAAGCCUCUUGCGCAGCAGAAGAAUGAUAGUCAUACUAUAUUUUUGUGCCUUAGGUGUAUUUUUUUGUUGGAUUUAGUUCUAGUGGGUCUAUAAAUAAAACCAUUGGGCUGAUAUGUUUCAUAGACACACAAAAACACAAAAUCAUUGUUUCAAAACCCUAUGCGCCAUUAGAAAUCAUGUGUUUUUGAUCUCUCGGAUUUCGUUCAUUCGUAUCUAGCACUGUUGAUGGAGGAUUCUUUUCGCAUGGACUGGGUAGAGGUGUUAUCGACCGUGAAGUUCUCACAAUCAUUUUGUGAUUUCAACUAUAAAAAGGUUCUACACUUCAAGACACAAUUGUUUGAUACCUAAAUAGGGGCGGAUCUCUUUGGAAGUGCCACUGCCCCCUCAAGUUUUUAUAUAAAUUUCAUAUUAUGCUUAAUAUUUCAACAAAUGCGUGUUGUUGCAGUGGUUAUGCGAUUCUUCAAUGUGUAAAAGGUCGUGUGUUCGAACCCCUGACACCCCAUCCCCAGGUAUCAAUCAAGCAAUAUUACCACCACACCAGUUAACAAUGUUCAAUGUUGGGUGAGGCAGACAUUCCUAAUUUUAUAUAACGAGUAUUUCAUUUGACAAGGUUGUUUUA